rnacentral:ncRNA from 2 species
AGUGAGGAUAGAGGCGCAAAAACCAUCAGUACACGAACCGAGGAGUAUGAGAUCCUUUGACGUUCCUGGAAAGGGGGAUUUGCCGAAGCGGUGAGGCACUCAUGGUCGACUCCGCUGGUUCUGCAUUAAACAAAUGCAGGACUGUCAUAUAGGAAACUAUAUGGAGGGCUAUCUGACGC